UGAUAACACCACUGUAAACAUUUUCUCGUCGUGUUCUGUCAUUGGUACAUGAACACGAUAUAAACAAUUAAAUACUUACACUGCAUAUAUUUUUUUUUGUUUUUUAUUACAAACCGUUGUUGGGUUUUUUAAUUCGCUCCUCACGUUCUCGUUCGAUUGCCAUGAACGGUAACAAGCCAUCGUUGUAAACCAGCAGCGAACGAGGCACACCGCGUGCGCGCGCGCGGUCUAUUUAUUUCACUUUUCAAAAUGAUCAAGUACGGCUAUCUGUGCGUCUUGGCCGUUCUGUGGUGCUCGACACCGUUCACCCGGUCGCAAAUAAAUGACGUGGAAACCGAAUGGCGAUGUCCGCAGUACUGGGUCCAGUACGGAAACUCCUGUUACAAGUUUGUGAAGUCGCCGUUCCGACCGAGAAGUGAAGCUCAUAGAAACUGUCAAGCUUUUGGAGCUGAUUUAGCUAGUGUUAAUAGCUUAGAUGAACAUGGUUUUCUCAUAAAUCAACUCUUGCAACAGGACCCACAACAUAGACAAUGGUAUGUAAGUGGUAAGCAAACCAGCCCUGGAGUGUGGGUAAAUGAUGUGGAAAACAAUAUUCCACUUAUUGAUGUCGAAAGUGCACUAUUACCUGAACAACAUACAACAUUAAACAGAGAUUAUAUUGCAUACACUUAUUCAGUUCAAUUACAAAAAUGGGGAUUUGAAAAAGUUCCAGGAGACCGAUACUUGCUUUAUAUUUGUGAAAUACCUCUUAAUAAACAACAUUUAAUAGUUGAAGAACGUUCCUAUAAGUAUGGCUAUAAUAUUGAUGAUCAGCAAAAAGUGCCUCGAGGACCUUACUUUAUUAAAGAACCUACAGAUGUAGUAUUUGAUAGUUCAAGAAUGUCAAUUACCAAUGACGUAGCUUUGAGUUGUGUUGCUGGAGGUUACCCAACACCAACAUAUGAAUGGUUUAAAGAAGAUUAUGAUAAUCAGGAUCAAUUAUUAUCUACAAAAAUUGAUCCACUAAGUAAUAAGAGAUUCACAUUAAGUGGUGGAACUCUUAUUAUUUAUGCUCCCAAAAGGGAUGAAGAUAGAGGUCGGUAUCACUGUAAAGCAUCAAACAUGUUUGGUUCUGUAAUUUCUGAAAGUAUACAACUUUCAUUUGGAUUUAUUGGUGAAUUUAAUUUACAACGUCCUCUUGAACGUGGUAAUAAGAAUUGGGGAAAAACAAUAUUCUGUGAUCCUCCUCAAUAUUUUCCUGAGGUGAGAUAUUAUUGGGUUAGAGAAUCGUUUCCUAACUUGGUUCAAGAAGAUCGGAGAGUGUUUGUCUCAUAUGAUGGAUUCUUAUAUUUUUCCGCUUUGGAAGAAAGUGAUGCUGGCAAUUAUAGUUGCAAUGUGCAAAGUGAAGUUUCUAAUACUGGCAAGAAUGGUCCCUUGUUCCAGUUGCAUGUAGUAACACAUUCUGACUAUCAACAACUUAUAUUACCCAACAAUUUCCCUAAAGCUUUUCCAGAAGCACCUAUUGCUGGCCAAGAAGUUAGACUUGAAUGUGUUGCAUUUGCAUAUCCUGUACCUUCAUAUAAUUGGACAAGGAAAGGUUCUCCGUUACCUAAAGGCUCUUAUUUGACAAGCUACAACCGUGUAUUGAUAAUUCCUGAAGUUCAAGUCGAAGAUCAAGGAGAAUAUAAUUGCCAUGUUUUUAAUGACCGAGAUAGUAAAGAGAAAAGUGUUACUUUAACAAUACAAGCCGAACCAAACUUUACAAUCCCAUUGGAAGAUAAACACAUGGAUCACCAGUCAGAUUUAACAUGGACAUGCGAAGCUUUUGGUGUUCCAGAUGUAACAUAUAAGUGGUUUAAAAAUGGCGAACCACUAGAUAUUGAUAAACUAUUACCUGAUGAUCAAAAACGGUAUUUAAUACAAGACAAUGUAUUAAGUAUAAAAUAUUUAGAAACUGAAAAAGAUUCAGGAAUGUAUCAAUGUCAAGCUCGCAAUACUUUAAAAACCCGUUACUCAUCUGCACAGUUAAGAGUGCUAUCUUUACGUCCAUCAUUUAAAAAGAAACCUCUGGAGCCUGAAAUAUAUGGCGCUGAAGGCAAAAAUGUAACAAUUAAAUGUAAUCCUGAAGCUGCACCUAGACCUAAAUUUACAUGGAAAAAAGAUGGAUAUAUUAUAGGGUCCGGAGGUAGGCGUCGCAUAUUAGAAAAUGGAAAUUUAAUAAUUAAUCCAAUUGGAAGAGAUGAUGAAGGGAUGUACAUAUGUAUUGCAGAAAAUUUGUAUGGAACCGCAGAAAGUCAUGGAAAACUUAUUGUUAUGCGUGGCCCAGUGUUUAUUGAACAAUUAAAUCCCCAAAUAAGGUCAAUUGUUAAACAUGAUUUACUAUUACGUUGCCAAGCUGUUUCUGAUGAACUCUUAGACAUUGCAUAUGUUUGGACCCAUAAUAAUAUGCCAUUAGCUAAUUCUAAUUCUGAACUCAUUGGACAUGUUAGCAUUAAUAGUGGAGAGCUAUACAUUCAUAAUAUGACAUUGGAAGAUUCUGGUGAAUACAAAUGUUUUGUACACAGUGUAGUUGGGGAAAUAUCAUCAACAACUAAUUUAUUUGUUGAUGGACCUCCUGGACCUCCAGGUGGACUACAAGUUGAAGUCUUAAAGACAUCUGCCAAACUUCAAUGGUCUGAUGGUGCAUCAAAUGGACGUCAAAUAACACAUUAUAUAGUAAGCGCCCGUUCACAAUGGAACAGUACUUGGUAUACAGUUGCCACAGAUUUUAUAGUCAAGGAAGUUGAUAGGUAUAAUGGGCGCAAAGAAGCAUUUUUAGAAAAUAUUUUGCAACCUUGGUCCAAGUAUGAAUUUAGAAUGGUAGCAGGAAAUGAGCUUGGUUUUGGUGAAAUAUCUCUUCCUUCACCUCAAGUUAAUACACCAGCUGAUCGCCCAUAUAAAGCACCAACAAAUAUCACUGGAGGUGAUGGUAAAAUUGGAGAUUUAACAAUUGUGUGGAAACAACUUCCUCCUCAAGAUCAAAAUGGACCAGGGAUCUAUUAUAAAGUAUAUUGGAGACGUUUAGAUCAUGACACAGAUUUUCAGUAUGAGACAUUGCAAGAUAAUGGUAAUAUCGGAAUGGCAGUAGUACACAUAAAGCCAGAAUUUUAUUACACUAAAUAUGAAGUCAAAGUUCAGCCCUUUAAUUCCUUUGGUGCUGGUCCUAUAUCAGAUCCUAAAGUAAUAUAUAGUGCAGAAGAUAUGCCACAAGUAUCUCCACAGCAAGUGUUUGCUAUUUCUUACAACUCAACUGCCAUUAAUGUAAGUUGGGUACCAAUUGAUCAAUCACGAGAAAUGUUACGUGGUAAAUUAAUUGGCCACAGAUUAAAAUAUUGGAAAAAAGAUAAGAAUGAAAAAGAAGAAGAUGCUGUAUAUUAUUUAAGUAGAUAUGUUAGGCCUUGGGCACUUAUUGUUGGAUUGCAACCAGAUACAGAAUAUUAUGUAAAAGUAAUGGCUUUCAAUUCAGCUGGAGAAGGUCCGGAGAGUGAGCGAUAUAUUGAACGAACGUACAGAAAAGCUCCUCAAAAACCACCAUCAUCUGUUAUAAUUAACGGCAUAAAUCCAGGUACCAUACAUGUAACAUGGCGAUAUGUACAACCAACACUUGAAGAAGAACCAAUCAAAGGCUAUAAGGUGAGAGUAUGGGAAAACGAUCAAGACAUGAGUACUGCAAAUGAUACGAUUAUUGAAAUUGAAAGCAAAUUAGAAGCAUACAUUUCUAACCUAACACCUGGAAAAGUAUACAAACUUCGAGUAUUGGCAUAUUCUAAUGGUGGAGACGGACGGAUGUCAUCACCCAUUAACACUUUCCAAAUGGGAAGUUUUACUUAAUAAUGAAAGUAAAUUACUUAUGUGUAGCAUAUAAUAUAAAUAAUUAAAAAUAUUUAUAUAUUUAUGCUGAACAAUACAAGCUUACUCUAGUUAUCACAAUAUGUAAUCCCGAUCUGUACUUGACCAACAAAGCGAGCAAAAACUCGGCAGUCUGUCUGUCGAUCGUGUUGUUGCUGAGAUUGUACGGCAUCAUUUAGAAUUUAUAGAUCUAAAACGUAACGCGCACGACCACAUGUAAUAAUCUCAAUUAUUAUAUUUUUUUAAACACAUUUUUACUAUUAUAAACGUAUAGUUUUAAGUUGAUGACAAUAAUUCGCCCAGAGUGUGAUCAAUUUUUGUGAUUAUGGUUAGAUAUAUUCAUAACGGAUCACAUAUAUUAUUUAUAAGAAUAUUAACCUAUAAUGGUAAACUCUAUACAAUUGUCCAUACAAGUAAAAUAUCAAAAUAUAUAUGAUUUCGGUGUACGUAAUUAUAUACCGAAUGUAUAUGGAGAAAAAGUGCCUUGAAAUAUUAUUAAUAAUAUUAUAAUACGCAUGAAUCAAAAACUCUCGUCUGUGUUCAAAAUAUAAUUGACAGCCAUUAUUUAAUAUAAUAUUAUUGUGAUUUAAUACUAUUCAAUAGCAAUAAGUGAGAUUUUUAAUAUAAAUACUGAAAAAUGUUCUUGUAAGUAUAAUUUUCAAUGUUGUAAAAAUAGGUAAUUGUUUAAAAUGUUUCAAGCAUAAGCUAUUUAAAUUCAGUGACUCUUAACCUUUUUUUUUGUUCGUGGUACCUUUGGGUAUUUUAUAAAAAUCCCAGAAUAUUCUACAUUUUAUAUAAUGUGUAUGAAUCAUUUAUAUUUUCAAUAUCUUGUGGUACACCUAAAACCAAUUCACGGAACACUAGUGUUUUGCGGCACACCAGUUGAGAAUCACUGUUAAAUACAGUACAUAAAAUAAUUUUAUUUUAUAUAUUAUAUUAUAUUAGUUAAAAGUGAUUAUAUAGUGUUCAACCUACAAGUUGUUUUCAGAUAAUAAUUUCUGGUGAAAAAUUCUCAGUGUUAAAAUGAAAUCAUUCUAAUAUUAUGUUCAUACAUUCUAUAUAAUAGCCUAAAGUAAUUUUAAUGUAGCUAAAUAUCAAUAAAAAAAAUAAUUAAAUAUUAAUUUUUUUUUAUCAUUAGAUAAAAUGCAAGAGACCUAUAUAAAACAGAUUAUUAAUAAAAUAUUUUAUAUUAUGUUAUUAACUAAGAGUCUUUUAAUUAUAUAAUUUAAAAAUAAUAAUAAUAAUAUUUAUAUGUUAAAUUAAGCAAAAUGGAAAAAUAAUAUUAAGCGCUAUCUAAUUUUUUAUGAUACUUAAACAAAUUUAAUUUUGAAUAUAAAAAAGCAAAUUAUUUACUAUAUUGUACGGCGAUUUUAUGACCUUUAGCUGUUUUAGUUUUAUCCUUUUUUAAAAAUGUACUAAUAAGUAAAUCAUUAUGGAAUCUUAAAAGUACUAAAAAAAUUAAAAAAAUAUAAAAACGAUAAAAUAUUGCAAUAAAUUUUGUUUGUACAACACCGCAAUAAAUUAAUUACAUCAAAUAUUUAAUUAAUUGACCUAUGUAUUACCUACCUAUGACAAUGGCGUAGCCAGGAUUUUUUUCGGGGGGCUGAUCAAUUUUUGUAAAAUACAAUUUAACAUUUUUGUACUUUUAAAAAUUAAAAUAAUUUUUUAAUUUUCUUAAUAUUUUUUUGAGAGGAGAGGGAGGAGGCUACAGCCCCCUCAGCUUCCCCCCUGGCUACGCCACUGACCUAUGAAUAACACUCAUAAUUCCUAUAUAUAUAUAAUUUAUUAUACAGUAAUAUAAUAGUACUAGGUUUUAUAUCUCUAUAUUUUGAUUUAUAAUUAAUUACCAUACUUGGGAAGUAUAAAAAUGGAUUGAUUUUUAUAAUGGGAAUUUUUUGCAAAUAUUUCUGAAAACACGUAGGAAUUGCCAAAAAAAUAUUUAAACAUAAAAUCACUAUAUAUAUAUAAUCAUAAUAAUAUAUCUGUUCAUUCAAACAUUUUACAACAUUGAUUUAUUUUUAUAAUGUAUAUUAUUUUAUUUUUGUACUUGCGUUUAUGAAAAGUAAAUUAGUUCUUGAGAUUUCAUUCUCAUAGGUAUAUAUUAUAUUUUAUAUUAAUUGCUUUUAUACUUUUUAUUCAUUAUUUUUAUGUAUACAUUUUUAUUGUAUUUUUUACUAUGCAAUAUGCGUUUUUUAAUUUAAGUGAAUCUAUACCGUCCAUACUAUCUAGUGAUAUUUAAUUAGUGCACAAUAUUGACGUACCUAUUAAAGUAGUCGUUAAAAUAUUUUAUUUAUAACUAAUAUUGACAAAUGUAGUUAUGUAGUACUUAGAACAACAAUAAUGUAACUAAAUACCAUUGUAUACUUUUGAAACUUAAUGACUUUAUAUUGGCAAUAUGUAACUUCCACUUAUUUUUUGCUUAAAUAUAUUAUAUUAUUAAAGAUUAAUCACAA